rnacentral:rRNA from 1 species
CCUACGGUGGGCUGCAGUCGAGAAUCAUUCACAAUGGGGGAAACCCUGAUGCAGCGACGCCGCGUGGGUGAAGAAGCGCCUCGGCGCGUAAAGCCCUGUCAGCAGGGAAGAAAAUGACGGUACCUGAAGAAAAAGCCCCGGCUAACUACGUGCCAGCAGCCGCGGUAAUACGUAGGUGGCAAGCGUUGUCCGGAUUUACUGGGUGUAAAGGGCGUGCAGCCGGAGAGACAAGUCAGAUGUGAAAUCCACGGGCUCAACCCGUGAACUGCAUUUGAAACUGUUUCCCUUGAGUGUCGGAGAGGUAAUCGGAAUUCCUUGUGUAGCGGUGAGAUGCGUAGAUAUAAGGAAGAACACCAGUGGCGAAGGCGGAUUACUGGACGAUAACUGACGGUGAGGCGCGAAAGCGUGGGGAGCAAACAGGAUUAGAUACCCGUGUAGUC